rnacentral:rRNA from 1 species
CCAAAACAUUAGCCCAACUUAACAAACCUCCAUGUUCACUCAACUAAAAUAUUUCAACAAAUUAGUAAAGACGAUUAAAAAUUAACUUGGAGCUACAAAAUGUACCGCAAGGGAAUAAUGAAAUAACAAUGAAAUAAACCUCAAGCAUAAGAAAGUAGAGAUUAAACCUCGUACCUCUUGCAUCAUGGUUUAACUAGUCCACUCAGGCAAAAAGACCUUAUAGUCUGACCACCCGAAACUAAAUGAGCUACUUCAAGACAGCUUUCUGAGCACACCAAACUCUGUUGCAAAAGAGUUGGAAGAUCUUCAAGUAGAGGCUACAUACCUAACGAAUUUAGCAAUAGCUGGUUAUUCAAGAAAAGAAUCUUAGUUCUGCAUAAAGUUACUUAAAUGCCACCAAAUAAGAAUUAUAGCUUUAAUUUUAUUCAAAUAAGUUACAGCCUAUUUGAAAUAGGAUACAACCUCCACCUAAGGGUAAAACCUAAUAACUAACAAAGUAGGCCUAACAGUAGCCACCUUUAAAAAAGUGUCACAACUUAAUUACACACACUCAUAAAUCUCAUGUCCAACUACUAACCCUACAAUAGUACUGAAUAAUCCAAUACUUUAUUGGAGCUAAAAUGUUAAAACUAGUAACAAGAACAAGAAUUUCUCUUAAUUACACGUGUAAAUCAAAUAGGACAAACCAAUGCUACUUAACUGUCAUGAAAUAGAGUAGUAACCAAACAAGAAAACCCUACUACAACUACUGUUAACCUUACACAAGAGUACUUAAAGAAAGAUUAAAAGAAAAAGAAGGAACUCGGCAAACACUGAUUCCGCCUGUUUACCAAAAACAUCGCCUCCUGCUAAAAUAUAGUAGGUACAGCCUGCCCAGUGACCCGUUUAACGGCCGCGGUAUCCUAACCGUGCGAAGGUAGCGUAAUCACCUGUUUUUUAAUUAAAGACCCGUAUGAAAGGCACCACGAGAAUCAAACUGUCUCCUAUUUCUAAUCAGUGAAACUAAUCUUCCUGUGAAAAAGCAGGAAUUAUUAUACAAGACGAGAAGACCCUUUGGAGCUUCAGACAACAUGAUGACCUACUUCCCCACCAACAAAUGAACUCAUCAAUAGUCUUCGGUUGGGGCAACCACGGAGAAAAAAAUAACCUCCGAGAUGAACACCUAACAAAAGCCACAACUUUAAGUAUCAAAUGACAUCAAUUGACCCAAUAUUUUGACCAACGAACCAAGUUACCCAAGGGAUAACAGCGCAAUCCGCUUUAAGAGUCCAUAUCGACAAGCGGGCUUACGACCUCGAUGUUGGAUCAAGAUAUCCCAGUGGUGCAGCCGCUACUAAUGGUUCGUUUGUUCAACGAUUAAAAUCUCACGCGAUCUGAGUUCAGACCGGAGUAAUCCAGGUCAGUUUCUAUCUGUAUGGAGCUUUUCCCAGUACGAAAGGACAGAAAAAGCACGGCCCAUGCCUGAGUCAUGCCGCAAUACAAACACUGCAACAAACUUAAGUUAUUAACCCAAAUUCACCUUAGAACAAAGUA